CGUAGGAUCCGAGCGUUAUCCGGAGUGACUGGGCGUAAAGAGUUGCGUAGGCGGUUAAUUAAGUGAAUAGUGAAAGCUGGUGGCUCAACCAUACAGACUAUUAUUCAAACUGGUUAACUCGAGAAUGGUAGAGGUCACUGGAAUUUCUUGUGUAGGAGUGAAAUCCGUAGAUAUAAGAAGGAACACCAAUGGCGUAGGCAGGUGACUGGACCAUUUCUGACGCUAAGGCACGAAAGCGUGGGGAGCGAACCGGAUUAGAUACCCUGGUA
rnacentral:rRNA from 1 species